rnacentral:rRNA from 1 species
UACGAAGGGGGCUAGCGUUGCUCGGAAUCACUGGGCGUAAAGGGUGCGUAGGCGGGUCUUUAAGUCAGGGUGAAAUCCUGGAGCUCAACUCCAGAACUGCCUUUGAUACUGAAGAUCUUGAGUUCGGGAGAGGUGAGUGGAACUGCGAGUGUAGAGGUGAAAUUCGUAGAUAUUCGGAAGAACACCAGUGGCGAAGGCGGCUCACUGGCCCGGUACUGACGCUGAGGUGCGAAAGCGUGGGGAGCAAACAGG